GUAGGGUGCAAGCGUUAAUCGGAAUUACUGGGCGUAAAGCGUGCGCAGGCGGUUAUGCAAGACAGAGCUGAAAUCCCCGGGCUCAACCUGGGAACUGCCUUUGUGACUGCAUGGCUAGAGUACGGUAGAGGGGGAUGGAAUUCCGCGUGUAGCAGUGAAAUGCGUAGAUAUGCGGAGGAACACCGAUGGCGAAGGCAAUCCCCUGGACCUGUACUGACGCUCAUGCACGAAAGCGUGGGGAGCAAACAGGAUUAGAUACCCUGGUAGUCCACGCCCUAAACGAUGUCAACUGGUUGUUGGGAGGGUUUCUUCUCAGUAACGUAGCUAACGCGUGAAGUUGACCGCCUGGGGAGUACGGCCGCAAGGUUG
rnacentral:rRNA from 1 species